CUGAACCAGCCAAGUAGCGUGCAGGAAGACGGCCCUAUGGGUUGUAAACUGCUUUUAUGCGGGGAUAAAGUGAGGGACGUGUCCUUCAUUGCAGGUACCGCAUGAAUAAGGACCGGCUAAUUCCGUGCCAGCAGCCGCGGUAAUACGGAAGGUCCGGGCGUUAUCCGGAUUUAUUGGGUUUAAAGGGAGCGUAGGCCGUGGAUUAAGCGUGUUGUGAAAUGCAGGUGCUCAACGUCUGCACUGCAGCGCGAACUGGUCCACUUGAGUGUGCGCAACGCAGGCGGAAUUCGUCGUGUAGCGGUGAAAUGCUUAGAUAUGACGAAGAACUCCGAUUGCGAAGGCAGCUUGCGGGAGCACAACUGACGCUGAAGCUCGAAAGUGCGGGUAUCGAACAGGAUUAGAUACCCUGGUAGUCCGCACGGUAAACGAUGGAUGCCCGUUGUCAGGCUGUUUCAGCCUGGUGACCAAGCGAAAGCAUUAAGCAUCCCACCUGGGGAGUACGCCGGCAACGGUGAAACUCAAAGGAAUUGACGGGGGCCCGCACAAGCGGAGGAACAUGUGGUUUAAUUCGAUGAUACGCGAGGAAC
rnacentral:rRNA from 1 species